UACAGGGGUGGCAAGCGUUGUCCGGAAUUACUGGGUGUAAAGGGUUCGUAGGCGGAAUGGUAAGUCAGCGGUCAAAUCCGGCAGCUUAACUGUCGACUAUCCGUUGAUACUGCUGUUCUUGAGUGUGUGAAAGAUAAGUGGAAUUCCCAGUGUAGAGGUGAAAUUCGUAGAUAUUCGGAAGAACACCAGUGGCGAAGGCGACUCGCUGGACAAGUAUUGACGCUGAGGUGCGAAAGCGUGGGGAGCAAACAGGAUUAGAAACCCGAGUAGU
rnacentral:rRNA from 1 species